GGGCACGGUGGUGUGCACCUGUAGUCUCAGCCACUCAGGAAACUGAGGUGAGAUCAUUUGCAUCCAGGAGUUCUGGGGUGUGGUGCACCCGCAAUGCCCAUCAGGGGCCCAUACAAUGUUCAGCAUCAAUACAGUAACUUCCUGGAAGCAGGAGAUCACCAGGUUGCUUCAGGGAGGGGUGAACCAGCCAAGGUCGAAAAUAGAACAGGUCAAAACUCCAUGGGAUCCUGCCUAUGAAUAGCCACUGCACUCCAGCCUGGGCAACAUAGCGAGACCCCGUCUCU
rnacentral:SRP_RNA from 1 species